UUUUGUAGUCAUACGCUCGUCUCAAAGAUUAAGCCAUGCAUGUGUAAGUAUAAAUAGUUAACUUUGAAACUGCGAAUGGCUCAUUAUAUCAGUUAUAGUUUAUUUGAUGAAGAAUACUAAUUGGAUAACCGUAGUAAUUCUAGAGCUAAUACAUGUAUAAAGUCUUGUAGACUGCAUUUAUUAGAAUGAAAACCAUAGGUUUCGGCCUAUUCGUGAGUAAUAAUAACUAAUCAUAUCGUAUGCUUAUGUAACGAUGUGUCUUUCAAGUUUCUGCCCUAUCAGCUUUCGAUGGUAGGGUAUUGGACUACCAUGGCAGUAACGGGUAACGAAUAA
rnacentral:rRNA from 1 species